UACGAAGGGGGCUAGCGUUGCUCGGAAUCACUGGGCGUAAAGGGUGCGUAGGCGGGGCUUUAAGUCAGGGGUGAAAUCCUGGAGCUCAACUCCAGAACUGCCUUUGAUACUGAAGAUCUUGAGUUCGGGAGAGGUGAGUGGAACUGCGAGUGUAGAGGUGAAAUUCGUAGAUAUUCGCAAGAACACCAGUGGCGAAGGCGGCUCACUGGCCCGAUACUGACGCUGAGACACGAAAGCGUGGGGAGCAAACAGG
rnacentral:rRNA from 1 species